rnacentral:rRNA from 1 species
UACGGAGGAUGCGAGCGUUAUCCGGAUUUAUUGGGUUUAAAGGGUGCGUAGGCGGUCCGUUAAGUCAGCGGUAAAAUUGCGGGGCUCAACCCCGUCGAGCCGUUGAAACUGUCAGACUUGAGUUGGCGAGAAGUACGCGGAAUGCGCGGUGUAGCGGUGAAAUGCAUAGAUAUCGCGCAGAACUCCGAUUGCGAAGGCAGCGUACCGGCGCCACACUGACGCUGAGGCACGAAAUCGUGGGGAUCGAACAGG